UGCAUCGGCUGGGAAUCGAACCCGGGCCGCCCGCAUGGCAGGCGAGCAUUCUACCACUGACCCACCGAUGG
rnacentral:tRNA from 1 species